UACGUAGGGUGCAAGCGUUAAUCGGAAUUACUGGGCGUAAAGCGUGCGCAGGCGGUUGUGCAAGACAGAUGUGAAAUCCCCGGGCUCAACCUGGGAAUUGCAUUUGUGACUGCACGGCUAGAGUGUGUCAGAGGGGGGUAGAAUUCCACGUGUAGCAGUGAAAUGCGUAGAGAUGUGGAGGAACACCAAAGGCGAAGGCAGUGUCCUGGGGAGUACCUGACGCUCAGGUGCGAAAGCCAGGGGAGCGAACGGG
rnacentral:rRNA from 1 species